rnacentral:rRNA from 1 species
AGGCAGCAGUGGGGAAUAUUGCGCAAUGGGCGGAAGCCUGACGCAGCGACGCCGCGUGAGGGAUGACUGCCUUCGGGUUGUAAACCUCUUUCAGCUCUGACUAAGCGAGAGUGACGGUAGGAGCAGAAGAAGCACCGGCCAACUACGUGCCAGCAGCCGCGGUAAUACGUAGGGUGCAAGCGUUGUCCGGAAUUAUUGGGCGUAAAGAGCUCGUAGGCGGUCUGUCGCGUCGAAUGUGAAAACCCGGGGCUCAACCCCGGGCCUGCAUUCGAUACGGGCAGACUAGAGUUCGGUAGGGGAGUCUGGAAUUCCUGGUGUAGCGGUGAAAUGCGCAGAUAUCAGGAGGAACACUGGUGGCGAAGGCGGGACUCUGGGCCGAUACUGACGCUGAGGAGCGAAAGCGUGGGGAGCAAACAGGAUUAGAUACCCUGGUAG